UGGGGAAUAUUGGGCAAUGGGCGAAAGCCUGACCCAGCGACGCCGCGUGGGUGAUGAAGGCCUUCGGGUUGUAAAGCCCUUUCGUGCGGAAAGAACAGCCCUGUAGUUAAUACCUGCCGGGUUUGACGGUACCGCAGGAAGAAGCACCGGCUAACCUCGUGCCAGCAGCCGCGGUAAUACGGAGGGUGCAAGCGUUGUUCGGAAUUACUGUGCGUAAAGGGAGCGUAGGUGGUUGUGAUAGUCAGAUGUGAAAUCCUUUGGCUUAACUGAAGAACUGCAUCUGAAACUUCACAAGUCGAGUACAGGAGAUGGAAACGGAAAUCCCGGUGUAGAGGUGAAAUUCGUAGAUAUCGGGAGGAACACCAGUGGCGAGGGCGGUUUCCUGGCCUGAUACUGACACUGAGGCGCGAAAGCGUGGGGAGCAAAC
rnacentral:rRNA from 1 species